rnacentral:rRNA from 1 species
AAAGCACUUUCAGUUGUGAGGAAGGUGGUGUCGUUAAUAACGGCAUCAUUUGACGUUAGCAACAGAAGAAGCACCGGCUAACUCCGUGCCAGCAGCCGCGGUAAUACGGAGGGUGCGAGCGUUAAUCGGAAUUACUGGGCGUAAAGCGCAUGCAGGUGGUUUGUUAAGUCAGAUGUGAAAGACCCGGGGCGUCAACCUCGGAACUGCAUUUGAAACUGGCAGACUAGAGUACUGUAGAGGGGGGUAGGAAUUUCAGGUGUAGCGGUGAAAUGCGUAGAGAUCUGAAGGAAUACCGGUGGCGAAGGCGGCCCCCUGGACAGAUACUGACACUCAGAUGCGAAAGCGUGGGGAGCAAACAGGAUUAGAUACCCUGGUAG